rnacentral:rRNA from 1 species
UACGUAGGGGGCUAGCGUUGUCCGGAAUCAUUGGGCGUAAAGCGCGUGUAGGCGGUCCGGUAAGUCCGCUGUGAAAGUCGGGGGCUCAACCCUCGAAUGCCGGUGGAUACUGUCGGGCUAGAGUGCGGAAGAGGCGAGUGGAAUUCCUGGUGUAGCGGUGAAAUGACGCAGAUAUCAGGAGGAACACCAAUUGCGAAGGCAGCUCGCUGGGACGUUACUGACGCUGAGACGGCGAAAGCCCAGGGGAGCGAACGGG